AUGCUUUUCUCAAAAGAAAGUCAUAGACAGAGUGGAUCAUAUUUAAUGCUUCUCAUCAGUGCGAUAUUGCUUCUAGGGAUUGAUGCUCAGGACAAAAAGCUUUCUCAAGCGUCUCCCUUCCAUGCAGGGUCAUGCCAUUAUGGAAGUGGCUGUUUUGUUGUUGCUGACUAUACCAAUGAGCACAACCAAACCAGUGAGACAGACACAGAGGUGUGUGAGGUCAGUAUGAUAUAUUUCAGUUUACCAAGGCUGCAUUUAUUUAAUGAAAAAUACAGUAAAAACAGGAAUAUUGUGAAAUAUUAUUAAUAAUUACAUAUUAUUACAUUUUAAAAAGCAAGUUAUUCCUGUGAUCAAAGCUGAAUUUUCAGCAUCAUUACUCCAGUCUUCAGUGUCACAUGAUCUUCAGAAAUCAUUCUGAUAUGCUGAUUUACUGCUAAAGAAACAUUUCUUUUUAAUAUCAACGUUGAAAACAGUUGGUAAAUAUUUUUGUGUAAACCGCAAUAAGUUUCUGAUGAACAGAAGUUUUAAAAGAACAGCAUGUAUUAUUUGAAGUAGAAAUAUUUUGUAAAUGUCUUUUCUGUCACUAUUUACAAAUUCAAUGCAUUCUUGCUGAAUAUGAGUAUUAUGUUAUUUCCAACCCCAAAACUUUUGAACGGUAGUGUACAAAUCUUUGUGUUAUUUUCUUGGGACUUACUGUGCGUUCAUAUGAAUUAUCAAUAACACACAUUCACAUUUGUCGUGUCUCCCUGCAGAAAGCGAGCAGCUCGAAGAGGUUGUCAGCUUGGGACAUGUCAGGUACACAACCUGGCGAGCAAGUUAUACCGAAUGGGUCAGAACAAUGGAAAAGAAGAAUCCAAAAAUGCAAAUGACCCAACGGGAUAUGGACGCUAAGAAUAUACAUCACAGAUGAGCUUCUGCUCAUUCAUCAAUGAACAGAAUGUAUUUGACUGGUACUGCUCAGGAUGUUGCUAUAAAAAAAGAGUUCAAAUAUAUAUUAUAUUAACAAGAUAUAUUAACCAAGAUAUUGCAUGUAUUUGAUAGACCUUGUUUAGGCUGCUCUUACUGUAUAAAGAUUCUAUGCAUUCUAUUUAAAAAUAUAUAUAUAAAAAAAC
ensembl:lncRNA